ensembl:lncRNA
GCUUUUUAGUUUUUAGGGUGCUGUGAGGGGACCUAUGAGGUCUCCCUGAGCAAGGUGGCGUAGACUGGGGCAGAGAAAGUGAUGCUGUCCCCACUAAAAAGAGAGGAAGCAUUGGAGACAUCAGGUACAACUGCUGGGAUGAAGGUCACAGAGGAUGGCAGUGCUGUUGUUACCACCUGCAUUGUGCAGCCAGGGCCAGGAAUCGGCUGCUGUAUUAUAAUACGAGGUGCACCGCGCUCUGCUCUGUGCUACAAUAUCCACUUAUUUCUGCUGCUGACCAAAUGGUAUAAGGGCUACACAUUUAUACAGCACAACCUCUGCUUCAAAUAAAAGGUGACAAAAGUGAUAUGCUGUCCUCUGUGAUGUUCUGCAGAGAAGGGGUGGGGGAAGAGGGAGAGAAAGAGCGCUGCAAUGAGUUUAUUCCCACAGUCGCUGUAGGGACAUCGUUAUCUUUUGUAAAAUAGAUAUAGAAAGGUUAUGGAGCAAAUAAGGGUCUGAUUUUUGGAGAUCAGGUACUUCACAGGGUUGAAUACCUCACAGCCUCCUUCACAUGAACCUGUAAAAGAAAACCUCUCCAUGAAACCUCAAAAAUUCUUGCAAGAAUCAGAUGUUUAGCCCUCCACAAGUAAUAGUAUUGAAAGCUUUUCCUAGACAGGGGUCAGAUCCAUUUUAUUGUAAGAGCAGCUCAAUUCUAAGUGCAAAAGGACAGAGCUAAAGGACAUCUCAGUGUGACCAGGUGCUACUCCAGCUCCAGGAGUGCUUAACAGAGAGCCCCAGGAGUGCAUUGGAGCUGGGGAGAGGGAUGGGAAGCUGCAGCUCCUGGCCCUGUGUGCAGAGCUAAAGGUCUCACUCACAAACUGAGCAAAAGAGGUGGAGCAAAUGCCUGCAUUGAAAUGCUUCACUUCUAAACUCUCCAGAUUGCAAGGAGAGUGACUCCAUGGGUGAGCACUCAUCUGUUCAGAACAGAGCCAUCCAUGAGAUGUGUUUUAGCUUUUUACC